rnacentral:misc_RNA from 1 species
GAUGAAGAACGUAGCAAAAUGCGAUAAGUAAUGUGAAUUGCAGAAUUCAGUGAAUCAUCGAAUCUUUGAACGCACAUUGCGCCCGCCAGUAUUCUGGCGGGCAUGCCUGUUCGAGCGUCAUUUCAACCCUCAAGCACAGCUUGGUGUUGGGACUCGCGUUAAUUCGCGUUCCCCAAAUUGAUUGGCGGUCACGUCGAGCUUCCAUAGCGUAGUAGUAAAACCCUCGUUACUGGUAAUCGUCGCGGCCACGCCGUUAAACCCCAACUUCUGAAUGUUGACCUCGGAUCAGGUAGGAAUACCCGCUGAACUUAAGCACAUCAAUAAGCGGAGGA